rnacentral:rRNA from 1 species
GACGAACGCUGGCGGCGUGCUUAACACAUGCCAGUCGAACGGAAAGGCCCUGCUUGCAGGGUACUCGAGUGGCGAACGGGUGAGUAACACGUGGGUGAUCUGCCCUGCACUUCGGGAUAAGCUUGGGAAACUGGGUCUAAUACCGGAUAGGAGCCAUCUUUAGUUUGGUGGUUGGAAAGUUUUUUCGGUGUAGGAUGAGCUCGCGGCCUAUCAGCUUGUUGGUGGGGUAAUGGCCUACCAAGGCGGCGACGGGUAGCCGGCCUGAGAGGGUGUACGGCCACAUUGGGACUGAGAUACGGACCAGACUCCUACGGGAGGCAGCAGUGGGGAAUAUUGCACAAUGGGCGCAAGCCUGAUGCAGCGACGCCGCGUGGGGGAUGAAGGCCUUCGGGUUGUAAACUCCUUUCGCUAGGGACGAAGCUUUGUUGUGACGGUACCUAGAUAAGAAGCACCGGCUAACUACGUG